GAGUUUGAUCUUGGCUCAGGACGAACGCUGGCGGCGCGCUUAACACAUGCAAGUCGAGCGAGAACCAGUCCUUCGGGACUGGGACGAGCGGCGAACGGGUGGAGUAACACGUGGGUAAUCGACCCUUGGUACUGGGAUAGCCCGGGGAAACCCGGACUUAAUACCGGAUGGCCCAGCAGCUCUUCGGGGCGGCUGGAAAAGGUAGCUUCGGCCUCCGACCAAGGACGAGCCCGCGGCGGAUUAGCUUGUUGGCGGGGUAACGGCCCACCAAGGCGACGAUCCGUAGCUGGUCUGAGAGGACGAUCAGCCACACUGGGACUGAGACACGGCCCAGACUCCUACGGGAGGCAGCAGUGGGGAAUCUUGCGCAAUGGGCGAAAGCCUGACGCAGCGACGCCGCGUGGGGGAAGAAGG
rnacentral:rRNA from 1 species